ACUACCUGUGACAGUUCCAGAUCUCCCUGUACUACCUGUGACAGUUCCAGAUCUCCCUGUACUACCUGUGACAGUUCCAGAUCCCCCUGUACCUGGACCCUCUGUAUCAGCCCGCCCACCUGCACGUGUACAAUCAGACCCCUUUGAUAGUGACAGUGACCCAGAUGACCCUGAGCCUUUCCAUGGUUUUGAUGCCUCGCCCUAUACAUCAGAUGUAGAUGUUCCCUCAUCAGUUGAUACAAGUAUCACCUCCCAGAACCCAAAUCAGUUGAUACGAGUAGUAUCACCUCUCCAUUCCUUCAGGUAAAAGAAUUCUUCAUUUUUUAUAUUGAACAUACGUAUUACACACUACAUAUGUCAAACAGUAAUAACAUGUGCAGUAGUUACAGUAGUAGUAACUAUCAUUUUAUAUAUUUUUUAUCAUUCCAGACUCCCAAGCACCUGCCCAUCCCACUCCAUAGCCCAGCCACCCACUCUCAUGUACCAUAUGACCA